rnacentral:rRNA from 1 species
AGCAGUCAUCCGCUUGCAAAUACAUGUCCUUCCUUAAACCGGUAGGCUGUAUAAGUAAGCACUUUACCUUGAGAAAACAGAGUGUUCCAGGCAGGUUUUGUCCGGAAUGCGUUAGCAUGGAAUAAUAGAAUAUGACUGAAGUCGAUUUAUUGGUUUAAGGCUUUAGUAAUGAUUAAUAGGAACAAUCGGGGGCAUUGGUACUUGUCAGUCAGAGGUGAAAUUCUAGGAUUUGACAAAGACUAACUGAUGCGAAAGCGUUUGCCAAGAAUGUUUUCAUUAAUCAAGAACGAAAGUUAGGGGGAUCAAAGACGAUCAGAUACCGUCCUAGUCUUAACUAUAAACUAUACCGACUCGGAUUCAGAUGAAUUUUAAAGUUCAUUUGGGACCGUAGGAGAAAUCAAAGUCUUUGGGUUCUGGG